AGGAGACAGACCUAACCAGUCUUUCUGAAAAAGAAUUCAAAAUAAAAAAUCAUAAACAUUCUGACGGAGAUGCAGAGAAAUAUACAAGAGCUAAGGGAUGAAAUGCAGAGAAAAAUGCAAGAGCAAUGGGAUGAAAUGCAGAGAAAUACGCAAGAGAAAUGGGAUGAAGUCCGGAGGGAGAUCACAGAUGCCAGAAAGGAGAUCGCAGAAAUGAAACAAACUCUGGAAGGGUUUAUAAGCAGAAUGGAUAGGAUGCAAGAGGCCAUUGAUGGAAUUGAAACCAGAGAACAGGAACGCAUAGAAGCUGACAUAGAGAGAGAUAAAAGGACCUCCAGGAAUGAAACAAUAUUAAGAGAACUGUGUGACUAAUCCAAAAGGAAAAAUAUCCGUAUUAUAGGGGUACCAAAAGAAGAAGAGAGAGGAAAAGGGAUGGAAAGUAUCUUAGAAGAAAUAAUUGCUGAAAACUUCACCAAACUGGGGGAGGAAAUAAUCGAACAGACCACGGAAA